CGGCAAACUCGAUCACUGGCUUUGCAUGAUGUUGCAAAUGCAAAGGGAACCAAGUUUGCUACAGCAAGUUUGGUGGAAAUCUCAGCCCCCGGAAACGCAUUACAGAGGCUGACUCUUCUGAUCCAAAACACAA